rnacentral:rRNA from 1 species
ACUUGUACCGACUGGAUGAGCAGCGAACGGGUGAGUAACGCGUGGGGAAUCUGCCUUUGAGCGGGGGACAACAUUUGGAAACGAAUGCUAAUACCGCAUAAAAACUUUAAACACAAGUUUUAAGUUUGAAAGAUGCAAUUGCAUCACUCAAAGAUGAUCCCGCGUUGUAUUAGCUAGUUGGUGAGGUAAAGGCUCACCAAGGCGAUGAUACAUAGCCGACCUGAGAGGGUGAUCGGCCACAUUGGGACUGAGACACGGCCCAAACUCCUACGGGAGGCAGCAGUAGGGAAUCUUCGGCAAUGGACGAAAGUCUGACCGAGCAACGCCGCGUGAGUGAAGAAGGUUUUCGGAUCGUAAAACUCUGUUGGUAGAGAAGAACGUUGGUGAGAGUGGAAAGCUCAUCAAGUGACGGUAACUACCCAGAAAGGGACGGCUAACUACGUGCCAGCAGCCGCGGUAAUACGUAGGUCCCGAGCGUUGUCCGGAUUUAUUGGGCGUAAAGCGAGCGCAGGUGGUUUAUUAAGUCUGGUGUAAAAGGCAGUGGCUCAACCAUUGUAUGCAUUGGAAACUGGUAGACUUGAGUGCAGGAGAGGAGAGUGGAAUUCCAUUGGUUACCGG